rnacentral:rRNA from 1 species
CUGCCACCGAAUACAUUAGCAUGGGAUAAUGGAAUAGGACCCUGUCCUCCUAUUUUCAGUUGGUUUUGGCAGCGCGAGGACUAGGGUAAUGAUUAAUAGGGAUAGUUGGGGGCAUUAAUAUUUAAUUGUCAGAGGUGAAAUUCUUGGAUUUAUGAAAGAUUAACUUCUGCGAAAGCAUCUGCCAAGGAUGUUUUCAUUAAUCAAGAACGAAAGUUAGGGGAUCGAAGACGAUCAGAUACCGUCGUAGUCUUAACCAUAAACGAUGCCGACCAGCGAUUAGGAGACGUUGAAUACAAAACACCACCAUCGGUGCGGUCGUCCUUGGCGUCGGUCUUUCGGGGCCGGCGCGGGGACGGCUUAGCCCGGUGGCACCGGUGAAUGACUCCCC